UUUUAUUUGAGAGUUUGAUCCUGGCUCAGGAUGAACGCUGGCGGCGUGCCUAACACAUGCAAGUUGAGCGAUUUACUUCGGUAAAGAGCGGCGGACGGGUGAGUAACGCGUGGGUAACCUACCCUGUACACACGGAUAACAUACCGAAGGGUAUGCUAAUACGGGAUAAUAUAUUUGAGAGGCAUCUCUUAAAUAUCAAAGGUGAGCCAGUACAGGAUGGACCCGCGGCUGAUUAGCUAGUUGGUAAGGUAACGGCUUACCAAGGCGACGAUCAGUAGCCGACCUGAGAGGGUGAUCGGCCACAUUGGAACUGAGACACGGUCCAAACUCCUACGGGAGGCAGCAGGGGGGGAUAUUGCACAAUGGGCGGAAGCAUGAUGCAGCAACGCCGCGUGAGUG
rnacentral:rRNA from 1 species